rnacentral:rRNA from 1 species
GAUGAACGCUGGCGGCGUGCCUAAUACAUGCAAGUCGAGCGAACGGACGAGAAGCUUGCUUCUCUGAUGUUAGCGGCGGACGGGUGAGUAACACGUGGAUAACCUACCUAUAAGACUGGGAUAACUUCGGGAAACCGUAGCUAAUACCGGAUAAUAUUUUGAACCGCAUGGUUCAAAAGUGAAAGACGGUCUUGCUGUCACUUAUAGAUGGAUCCGCGCUGCAUUAGCUAGAUGGUAAGGUAACGGCUUACCAAGGCAACGAUGCAUAGCCGACCUGAGAGGGUGAUCGGCCACACUGGAACUGAGACACGGUCCAGACUCCUACGGGAGGCAGCAGUAGGGAAUCUUCCGCAAAGGGCGAAAGCCUGACGGAGCAACGCCGCGUGAGUGAUGAAGGUCUUCGGAUCGUAAAACUCUGUUAUUAGGGAAGAACAUAUGUGUAAGUAACUGUGCACAUCUUGACGGUACCUAAUCAGAAAGCCACGGCUAACUACGUG